rnacentral:rRNA from 1 species
GCCGAACGCUGGCGGCGUGCCUAAUACAUGCAAGUAGGACGCAGUUGCGAACGGGGGAGUAACGCGUAGGUCACUGCCUAUUUGCGGGGGAUAACUAUUGGAAACGAUAGCUAAUACCGCAUACUAGUAGAUGGACCUGCGUUUUAUUAGGUAGUAGGGAGGGUAAUGGCCGUCCUAGGCGACGAUACAUAGCCGACAUGGGAGGGUGAUCGGAGAGACUGAGACUGAGACACGGCCCAGACUCCUACGGUAGUCGUCGGUAGGGAAUCUUCGGCAAGAGGGGGAACCCUGACCGAGCAACGCGGCGUGAGUGAUGAAGGUUUUCGAAUCGUAGAGCUCUGUUGUUAAGGAAGCGGUACUUAACCAGAAAGGGACGGCUAACUACGUGCCAGCCGCGGCGGUAAUUC